rnacentral:lncRNA from 1 species
UCUGAUUUAGGGUCUAUGGAAUCUGAUUUAGGGUCUAUGGAAUCUGAUUUAGGGUCUAUGGAAUCUGAUUUAGGGUCUAUGGAAUCUGAUUUAGCGUCUAUGGAAUCUGAUUUAGCGUCUAUGGAAUCUGAUUUAGGGUCUAUCGAAUCUGAUUUAGAGUCUACGGAAUCUGAUUUAGCGUCUAUGGAAUCUGAUUUAUUGUCUAUGGAACUUGAUUUAGGGUCUAUGGAAUCUGACUUAGGGUCUAUGGAAUCUGACUUAGGGUCUAUGGAAUCUUAUUUAGUGUCUAUGGAAUCCGAUUUAGGGUCUAUGGAAUCUGAUUUAAGGUCCAUGGAAUCAGAUUUAUGGUCUAUGGAAUCUGACUUACGGUCUAUGGAAUCUGACUUAGGGUCUAUGGAAUCUGAUUUAGGGUCUAUGGAAUCUGAUUUAGGGUCUAUGGAAUCUGAUUUAGGGUCUAUGGAAUCUGACUUGGGGUCCAUGGAAUCUGAUUUAGGGUCUAUGGAAUUUGAUUCAGGGUCUAUGGAAUCUGAUUUAGGGUCUAUGGAAUCUGAUUUAGGGUCUAUGGAAUCUGAUUUAGGGUCUAUGGAAUCUGAUUUAGGGUCUAUGGAAUCUGACUUGGGGUCCAUGGAAUCUGAUUUAGGGUCUAUGGAAUCUGAUUCAGGGUCUAUGGAAUCUGAUUUAGGGUCUAUGGAAUCUGAUUCAGGGUCUAUGGAAUCUGAUUUAGGGUCUAUGGAAUCUGAUUUAGGGUCCACGGAAUCUGAUUUAGGGUCCAUGGAAUCUGAUUUAGAGUCUAUGGAAUCUGAUUUAGGGUCUAUGGAAUCUGAUUUAGGGUCUAUGGAAUCUGACUUGAGGUCCAUGGAAUCUGAUUGAAGGUCUAUGGAAUCUGAUUUAGGGUCCAUGGAAUCUGAUUUAGGGUCUAUGGAAUCUGAUUUAGGGUCUAUGGAAUCUGAUUUAGGGUCUAUGGAAUCUGACUUGGGGUCCAUGGAAUCUGAUUUAGCAUCUAUGGAAUCUGAUUUAGGGUCCAUGGAAUCUGAUUUAGGGUCUAUGGAAUCUGACUUAGGGUCUAUGGAAUCUGAUUUAGGGUCUAUGGAAUCUGAUUUAGGGUCUAUGGAAUCUGACUUGGGGUCCAUGGAAUCUGAUUUAGGGUCUAUGGAAUUUGAUUCAGGGUCUAUGGAAUCUGAUUUAGGGUCUAUGGAAUCUGAUUCAGGGUCUAUGGAAUCUGAUUUAG